CCUACGGGACGCAGCAGUGGGGGAUAUUGCACAAUGGGGGAAACCCUGAUGCAGCGACGCCGCGUGGGUGAAGAAGCGCCUCGGCGCGUAAAGCCCUGUCAGCAGGGAAGGAAAUGACGGUACCUGAAGAAGAAGCCCCGGCUAACUACGUGCCAGCAGCCGCGGUAAUACGUAGGGGGCAAGCGUUAUCCGGAUUUACUGGGUGUAAAGGGGGCGCAAACGGCGAUGCAAGCCAGGAGUGAAAGCCCGGGGCCCAACCCCGGGACUGCUCUUGGAACUGCGUGGCUAGAGUGCAGGAGGGGCAG
rnacentral:rRNA from 1 species